UCACGUUCUCAAUUAAUAUCAAACCUUACAUGGUUUAGCAAAAAUUGAUCUAAGCAUGCAACAUAUUCAUAAUCAAUAAAUUAAUACAAAGAUCCUAGUAUAUGCAUCAUUGUCGACAAGGUAGUGCUCACUUUCUCAAACUCUUAAGCUGCAAGGUAUUAUUUUGCCUUGGCGAACUAAACUUCCUCCCAAAGUUCAGAAAAUUCACAGACUACUCAACAAAGGCUCGAUGAUUAUUUUUAUCUUGCUCUUAGUCUUUGGAAGUCCUCCCUAUGUCGGCUUGCAAAGAAACUUCCUUAGCUGCAUAUCUCUGAACCCCAUUAGCUAACUCUGUCAAUUUCAUUUUUCUCUUCUCGACUUUGUCCACUCUUGUCUAGAGAGAGUCACUCGUUUUCUUUAGAAAUUGCAAUUUCUUAUCCAAACUAUCAGUUCAUAGAACACAAACUUCAUAUUUUGCUUUCUCAUCAUGAUGGCUUACAGUAGCUUGUAUAAGAUGAGCAUCAAUUAUUUUUCCGCUCUUUGUUGGAGUAAAUUCCUCAGCAAGCUUCUCCCAAGACUUACUAAAAUAUAAAACUGAAAGAACGUAGUAGUUUGACCCAAAUAACACCUAGAGGGGGUGGAUAGGUGUUUAUGCGAAAUUUCGAACAGUUAAUUAAUAAUUGCAACAAGUCACAGUUAUUAAUAUUAUCCAAAGCAAUUCACAUACAUACUACCCUAUGUUGAAUUGUCGCAGUGCAGUAAAUUGCAAAAAAAUAAAGUAACAUGGGCAAUUUGAUGACGGAGAAAAAUCCCUUGUGGGAUUAAAAACUCGGGCCCAAGCUAGUAAGAAUCUACUAUAAACGAAAACCAACUUACAUUGCCGCCAGAUUCAACCUAUGGAUUCUCGAGAACUCCCCGUUCUUGAUCUUGAAACCUUGACAGAUGCUCUAGAAAGACAGGUUUUGAUAUUUAAUGGGUGUGGAUUUUGAUUUUUU
rnacentral:lncRNA from 1 species